AUUGAACGCUGGCGGAAUGCUUUACACAUGCAAGUCGAACGGCAGCACGGGGCAACCUGGUGGCGAGUGGCGAACGGGUGAGUAAUACAUCGGAACGUGCCCAGUCGUGGGGGAUAACGUAGCGAAAGCUACGCUAAUACCGCAUACGAUCCAAGGAUGAAAGCGGGGGAUCGCAAGACCGCGCGCGAUUGGAGCGGCCGAUGGCAGAUUAGGUAGUUGGUGGGGUAAAGGCUAACCAAGCCGACGAUCUGUAGCUGGUCUGAGAGGACGACCAGCCACACUGGGACUGAGACACGGCCCAGACUCCUAUGGGAGGCAGCAGUGGGGAAUUUUGGACAAUGGGCGCAAGCCUGAUCCAGCCAUUCCGCGUGCAGGAUGAGGGCCUUCGGGUUGUAAACUGCUUUUGUACGGAACGAAAAGGUGCCUUCUAAUACAGGGCGCUCAUGACGGUACCGUAAGAAUAAGCACCGGCUAACUACGUGCCAGCCGCCGCAGUAAUAC
rnacentral:rRNA from 1 species